GGGGCCCGCACAAGCAGUGGAGUAUGUGGUUUAAUUCGAAGCAACGCGAAGAACCUUUACCAGGGCUUGACAUCCCUUGAAGCAGCUAGAGAUAGCUGUGUCCUUCGGGACAAGGAGACAGGUGGUGCAUGGUUGUCGUCAGCUCGUGUCGUGAGAUGUUGGGUUAAGUCCCGCAACGAGCGCAACCCCUGUGGUUAGUUGCCAGCAAGUAGCGUUGGGCACUCUAGCCAGACUGCCGGUGAUAAAUCGGAGGAAGGUGGGGACGACGUCAAAUCAUCAUGCCCUUUAUGUCCUGGGCUACACACGUACUACAAUGGCCGUUACAACGGGAAGCGAAGGAGCAAUCCGGAGCAAAUCCCUUAAAGGCGGUCCCAGUUCAGAUUGUGGGCUGAAACUCGCCCACAUGAAGGCGGAAUUGCUAGUAAUUGCAGAUCAGCAUGCUGCAGUGAAUACGUUCCCGGGCCUU
rnacentral:rRNA from 1 species